rnacentral:tRNA from 1 species
GAAGAGUUAGUAUACGCACAUUACUCGCCCUUGUCAAGGGCGGAAUAUAGGUUACAUACCUUUACUCUUCU